AGUAGUGCGCGUGCUACACAUGCAGUCGAGCGAACCUUCGGGGUGAGCGGCGGACGGGUGAGUACGCGUGGGUACCUGCCCUGUACACACGGAUAACAUACCGAAAGGUAUGCUAAUACGGGAUAACAUAUGAGAGUCGCAUGGCUUUUGUAUCAAAGCUCCGGCGGUACAGGAUGGACCCGCGUCUGAUUAGCUAGUUGGUAAGGUAACGGCUUACCAAGGCAACGAUCAGUAGCCGACUGAGAGGGUGAUCGGCCACAUUGGAACUGAGACACGGUCCAAACUCCUACGGGAGGCAGCAGUGGGGAAUAUUGCACAAUGGGCGAAAGCCUGGUGCAGCAACGCCGCGUGAGCGAUGAAGGCCUUCGGGUCGUAAAGCUCUGUCCUCAAGGAACAUAAUGACGGUACUUGAGGAGGAAGCCCCGGCUAACUACGCGCUUGCUGCCGCGGUAAUACGUAUGGGGAUAUCAUUAUCUUGAACUAUUUGGAGAAAAAGGUGCGAGAGGCGGGCCUCUCAAAGCCCUAAAGUUUUAGUGUAUUUGGGUCAACCAGCACAUAUAUCUAUGGUUGUAAAGUGUUUCAUUACCUCGUAGUUGCGUUCGCUCUGGGAAGUACUAGUGAAAUUAUUCUAUUUAAUAUUCACUUGACUCUUUGAUGCUCUUCUUUUGUUUUUUAUUGUGCAGUUAAUCGACUCUUUGUGUUACAUUUAUUUCUGUGAAUAGUGUCUUAGAUGAGACUAGUUCAGUCAUUCUCUCAUAUAUUGUACGUGUGUAAUCAUAUUAUAUAUCCUUGUAUCGAGUCGUGUGAGUCACAGUAUACGAAACUAGUAUUGUAUGUAGUGUAUCAUAAGAGGACUUCAGUGUGCUGACGACGCGACUUCUAUCUAGAGCUGACCCGGUCGAUGUAGGCUCGUUCCGUGUAGUCUCGCUGCUUAAUCAGCACGUAGUUGUCGGUGGAGGUCUAUGCCUUACUGAUUUCGUAGUUCUUGUGAUGUAUGUUGAUGUUGUUUAUU
rnacentral:rRNA from 1 species